ACGAACGCUGGCGGCGUGCUUAACACAUGCAAGUCGAACGAUGAAGCCUAGCUUGCUAGGUGGAUUAGUGGCGAACGGGUGAGUAAUACGUGAGUAACCUACCUUUAACUCUGGGAUAAGCCUGGGAAACUGGGUCUAAUACCGGAUACGACCAAUCUCCGCAUGGGGUGUUGGUGGAAAGCGUUAUGUAGUGGUUAUAGAUGGGCUCACGGCCUAUCAGCUUGUUGGUGAGGUAACGGCUCACCAAGGCGACGACGGGUAGCCGGCCUGAGAGGGUGACCGGCCACACUGGGACUGAGACACGGCCCAGACUCCUACGGGAGGCAGCAGUGGGGAAUAUUGCACAAUGGGCGCAAGCCUGAUGCAGCGACGCCGCGUGAGGGAUGACGGCCUUCGGGUUGAAAACCUCUGUUAGCAGGGAAGAAGAGAAAUUGACGGUACCUGCAGAGAAAGCGCCGGCUAACUACGUG
rnacentral:rRNA from 1 species